ACGGUGGAUGGAGCAUGACCAAAAAUUGCACUGAGGAGAUAAUACUAACCAUCUUAUUUUCCCUUGUAAUUUGGACCACUCACUAUUUUACUUUUAACCAUCAUUUUAUAAUAAAUAAUUGGAGGAUUAGGAGUAAUUGAUCAUUUUGAUUUUAGAUGUGUUCCAUCUACAAUGGGAUCCACAAUUCGGACUGUUUGGAUACAUUUACAUCUGCUCCACAUGUGAGGAGGAUGGGUUACCACCAUUUUUAAGUUAAGGACACUAGAAUAAGUGAAGGAGUAUUACAUAAGAGGAGCAAAACCUUUAUUCUCUAGCAGCGUGUGAUGGAUGAUAUGCAGGCACCUAGAAAUUAAAUAUCUACGCAGUGAUGGAUGAUAUGCAGGCACCUAGAAAUUACAUAUCUGCAGUUUAAGUAAUCAAACCAAACUUCCAAAUUAUGGGUCCCAUCUUAGAUAUAUUAAUGACCAAAAGUAACACAUUUGAUUAUCUGACUGUUGGAUUGGUGGACAUUUAUUGGACGAUUAAAAUGAAAAUGUCCAAUGUUCUUAUUUCAGCAAACAAGUGUCUACAAAUCAUAGGUUAGGUUUGUUCAAACUGUCCAGUUUUGAGGUUGUUACUUAACAAGAUAAAUUAUAUAUUUUAUUUGGUUCAAUAUGUGCUAAUAUAUGUCAAACAUACCAAUUCUGAGCUCCUACAUAUCAAGUGUCAUACUUUGCCAGAGUACAAAUAACUCUUUGAAUAAAGAAAGCAAAGAUUGCAAACCUAACCCAAGCUUCUUUUUGCUCUUAUAUCCAAAGAUGGUGAUAUUACCCCCGCCUCCACCCUUCUCUAUGCAUUCUCCUGAAGAAAAGUGGUGGCAUUCUAGAUAUUCUUGUCAAAACCAAAGUAUGUUUGAUAUAAAGGGCCUAUGUCGAUACCAAACACGUACGUUGUUGUGGGUCCUUCGUUUCAUCCUAAAGUGGGUCCGAUGAUGGUGUGAGCCUCCCAUCAUUCACCAUAAAGUGGGCAUCUCAUCAUUUUGUUGCCAUCAUUUCAUCAUAAAGUGGGCCCCAUUAUAAACUUAGCGAUUCCAUUAUUUUAUCUUUCAUUUUUGUUUUUAUUUUGUAAUAAAAUCAACACUUAUAAAAGUGGGCCCUAUGAUGGAAAAUUUAUGGUUUGGAGCGGUUGCACAGUGUUGAUCUUGAGCCUUGAAGCACCACCACCACCACCACCACCUUCAUCUCACACGCAGAAAGGCUCUAAAUCAAAAUUGUUGCGCUUAAGUACCGUCGAUGAAUAUUGAAAGCUAUGAGAUCUGAGGGCUUUGAUUUUAUUUUAUUUAUUAUUAUUAUUAUUAUUAUUAUUAUUAUCAAACCCCUUUAUAUGUUGUUAUCAAGCUAGUAUAAAGUACUUAUGCACUUAUUUCUUACAAGUGGGGCCCAAUGUUUAUCAAUCCAGACCUUUGAUCUUGUUGGACCUGCUAAAGACGGCGGGUGGCCAAAAACAAUUCGGACUCAAAGAUGCUUGCUAUCAAAUCUUCCUCCCCUCUUCUAGACCUUUGUUGUAUGUUUUGUUAAUGUUUACUUGCAGGCCACAAAACAAAGGGUUUGGACCCUCUAAAUCUAUGAUACUUUUGGGAAAUCUCCAAGUGUUGAUACAGGCCUUGGUGUCAUGCUUUUCUAGAUUAACCCCUUUUAUACAGGCUUUAUGUCUGAGUUAAGUCUACUAAGAUAUCUGAAACUUUGCUGGUCUUCAUAUUCAAGAAACCUUGCCCAUGAUAUCAAGGUAUGGAAUUCCUCGAUGUAUUCAUUCACUCAUCUACUCUUUUGACAUAGAUUGUGACAUCUUAGAUGAAGGCAGUGGGCAUAAACUGUGGCUGAGAAUUUCUGUUAUAAUUUCCUCUUCAUCUUUUCUCAAAAAGUUACUUUCUCCUUAGCUUAACAUCUUCAUUUGGCUUAGAGAUAGCCCCACUGUGCUAAUACGUGACUAGAAAACUUCGUGGCUAUGUGUUUAACCUUAUGUUUGUCUAUGGUUUCUUCAUAUUCUAACACCUUUUCCACCUUGCUUUGCCAGUCAUGAAGUUGUCAACAUGUAAACAACUGUGGAAUUUUGGAAUUUCUACCUUAACUCUAAGCUCCAUGUUAUGUUCCAACAAUAGAAGAAUUUGAUCAUUGGUGUCUUCACCAACUAGGGCAGCCCAUUGUAGGGUAGUACCUUGAUGGGGACUUUCCCUGACUUGUCAUUGUGCUCCAACUUCAUGUCUAGGUUCCCUCCACACUAGGGCUAUCUCACUUGAUUAGUGAGAUUGCUUAUUGCAUGCAUGAGUUGAUAUACUCGCUCUAUGAGUGCAUGGUUACUUACACGAAUUCUUCUUAUGUCACCCUCUUUAAAGCCAUUAAGAGAUGAUUUAGAGUCGAAUUCCACCAAAGAUCACCAGCUCUGAUACAAAAUGAUAUGAUCACACUAGUAGUUAAGUAAAAGAAAGUGCAUACUACAGAAACAAGAAAUAGAAAAGACCAUACAAAUCAGGAACAUUUCUACAAUCAUUCCCACCUGUGUACGUCCUCACAUAUGGAAAUAGGAACAUAGGUAUUGGCUUUCUUUUUUAUGCUUCCCUUAGCAGGUGCACAGAUGCCUUUUAAGAAUAUGAAAGCUUAGCGUAAUCAUGCCCAUUUACGCUACUACGGUGAUAUAAAGCUUGUACUUCAAAUCAGUUGCAUGGUUUUGAUUUUAAGCACUGAAGCAUUCAUGUUGAUAUUGAAAUGAGGAGAUGGAUGAGUGGCACCAUUGCAUGAUGAGUAAUGAUCGUAUUAUAAACGAAUGCAUUCAAAGGAACUUAGGAGUAGUAUCAAUAUGAUAAAAUGAGGGAAGGUAGAGUUAAAGGGCUCAAGGGGAAGGCCUAAACGGAUGUGGGUGGAGGUAGUAAGAAAGGUUUCGUGGCACAUGGUUGAGGAUAUGGUCAUUGAUAGAGUGGAAUGGCGGGAUAGGAUUUGUUAGAUGAACCUAAUCAGUUGGGUUAAGGGUUGGAUGCUGAUAAUGAUAAUGCUCGUCACCAUCAACACUAACGCCACCUUCAUCUUCUUGAGAUUUCUAAGUUGGCAAGGACACCCUACAAACAUAAAGACUCUCCAAGUUUUUGAACAAAUGUCCAUGAUUUAAUUCCAAAUUCCACCUUGAGCUUUUUUUUUUAUGCUCUAAAGUUGGAUGUAUAGUCUAGUUAUGAAGGGUACACAACUUGCUCCACUGGAUCACAAAUAGUGUCUAAGUUCUCUUGAGUUCUUCCGAAUGUAUUCUUGUAGCUUAGUAACAUCUUGUCUUUGAAAAAUGUCCUAAAGAGCAAACAUGAAUUCUUUAAUAUUAGACAAUUCUUUACUUUGGCAUUGAAAAAGGGAACUUUGAGCAAACAUGAACUCUUUAUCCUUUUGUAUCUUUCUCUCUUUAAUAUAAUCCAGUUAUCCUUUAAAAAUAAAAAAUAAAAAAAUUUAAGGGAUUUUUACCAAAACGACCCCAAGGUAUGGACGUAGCACGUGUUUAGCCCCCCUUUCCCUUCUCUUAUUUCUUUAGUUUCCUGACAACUUUUAAAAAAUUUCAGGGAUCAAAAUGCCCCUACAUCAGAGAUGGCACCCGUACAACGUUUGAGUGCUGGAGAAGUUAAAAGGGCCUCAUCCAGAUGUGUGGAGUGGGUCCCAUGAAACAUGAUUGGGCCCACUCCAUGGGAGAUUCCGCUCAUUGUAUUUAGGUAGUCGUGGAUCCACAAAAAAACAUUGAUUUCAACCUGAUCCUGAUCCAAGCCUUUUGUGGCCCAUAAUGGCCUAUAAUGGUGGGUGUUCAUUCCCCAUUUUUCUUGUGUGGUACACCUUUGCUGUGGUUUUUCCUCAUUUUUGUGCCCAUGCCCUUAAAUUAAAACCCGAAUUGAAUGGGUGGUAUGGAUUUCACACAACUCACGGUGGGCCCCAUAAACAUUGUCCGAAUACCCUCUUGUGGGUCCAAAUUGGAGAUGCCCCAUUUUCAUAAAUUUUGAUUUAUUUUUUUUUUCAGAGAGGGGACUACUUCACUUUUCGACGACUGUUCGAAGCUUCCUUUGUGGGGCUACCACUCUCCGGCAACUCUCCAGUGAAGUUUUCACUUUCCUUUGUGGGACCCACAACAACUAUUUUAAAAUUAAAAAAAACUAUCAUUUUUUACUAUCCGACAUAUGUUUUACCCUUCAACGUUCAUUUUUCACUCUCGGGCAGUGACUCUUCCUAAAGAUGGUGGCCAAAGGUAGGAGAUAGAUAAGAGUUGUCGUGUUUUUUUUUUUUUGGUUUUUUUGUCAAGGUACCAUUUGGUGAUGGUUUUUUGUGUUUGAUAUCAGGAGGGAUCGAUGUAUGGGUUUGAUGGGGGUAAGGAAGGGUCCAGAUUGUCAUUUUCUACGGCAAGGAGAUAGAUAUAUAAGUUCGAACAAUGGCGACCUGCUGUAGUUGACAACGGCGACCUGAUGUUGUUGACAACAACUACCUGCUGUAGUUGACAACGGCUAGCUGUUGUAGUUGGCGAUGGAAACCUGCCGAACAUGACAACAACGACCUGCCAUAGUUGACAAUGGUGACGUGCUGAAGAUGACAACAAUGGCUCUGUCAUUUUUUUCCGGAGAUCCUACUAGUAGCAUUUCUACACACAUGACAAGUGCUAGCUUCACUACAUCUGUAUGUUUGGUUGACCCACUAAGUGAUAAAAAAAGCCUCUAGCAAAUCCUUCUUCAAAACAAUUGCUUGGCAUGAGUACUUCUCCCUAGUCCCUUUUCUUUCACUAGUUUAAUUUUUUUCACCAACUCUAUAUAUUCAUCUACAUUGCCAUUCUUUCCGAUAGAUCCUAAUAGUAGCAUUUGUACACACACAACAAGUGCUAGCUUCAUUGCAUCCGUAUGCCUAGCUGACCCACUAAGUGAUAGAAAAGCCUGUACCAAAUCCCUUCUUCAUAAAGUCUUGUUACUAGCACUAAAAAGAGAUAUCUGACCCGCUUCUAUAUACAUAGCUGCUAACUAUUUCUUUUACUUUUCUUUCAAACUCCAAAGCCCAAUUAUGUUUUAAGAUGAACUGCAGGUCGAAAAGGCGAUCACCACAACCAUCCAUACCUUUCAAGGGGCAAGGAAUUUCCACAUGCAUUUUUGAAGCAUUCUUCAUGCAAGUGUUGGAAGUUGGAUCUCCACCAUGCAGAUAGCUUUUCAGCUCUUUGGAAAUUGCAUAAUCAAUUUGUCAUUGCUUGUAAACAGUUUAGGUGAAACUCUCAGUGGCAGGUAAAGCAGAGGUGAUAUGAACACAAUUUGGACAGCUAUGAAAAUUCUCAAUAGAAGUUUUGUGGUUUUCGCAAAGUGUGUGCUGACUGCUGCAUGCAUUUUUGUAUUAUUCUUUUGUACAGUAGUCUUGGUGUUAGAAAUCAUCGUUGCAAUUAGCUUUUGGUCUUUGCACCACUUCCUCAUUACCUUCCCGUAGGCAGCCAUUGCAAAUUUCUGGCAGCAACGUAGAGGGCAUAUGAACAAUUUGGACAGCUUCUAUGAAAAUAAAAGUAAAAGUAUUACAGUUGCCACACUGCUGUUGGAAGUUAGAUCUCCACCAUGCAUAUGCCUGAGAGGGAAAGUUGUUUGUAUGGUGGAGAUAUAACUUUCAGCACCAUUGCACAACAGAAUGCUUAAAAAUACGUGGAGAUGAGCAGGCACUCUGGGGUAGCUGGAAAACUUAUAUUGUUGAUUUUCAUAGAAGCUGUUCAAAUUGUUCAUGCUUUCCCGGGUGAAGGACAGAUUAAUGAGAAGAAGAGCAGAGGAGCUGAUUGAGGAGCAUCUGUGCUUUUUAUUUGUGGGUACCAAGGUGCUGUGCAGAAUCCAGUAUCUUCCUCACCCAAUAAAAUUGUGCCUUUAUUCAGGUUAGGUGAAUGUUUCUUCUUUGUUUAUCAUUGGACUUGUCAGACUAUGGCAUUUAUCGUAAAUGCUAGCCUUUUCUUUUGAAAAAAAAAAAAUUGAUGUUCUGUUCUGUUUGUAUAGUCUGAUCUUGUAAUGUACAGACUACAAACCUAUUAGUAAAUCAAGGUUUGCAUCUUGCUUUA